GCCAAUUGUCAAGCAUAUACUUGCUACUUCCUAAGCUCCUUUUGAUUCCAUUGAUGUCGUUAUAGGCAUGUCGAAUGCUUAUAAUAUUUGGCGGUUGGGCAAGCACCCACGCUAGGUCUUUGUGAGGCAUGAGAAUGUCAUUUCUUGUCCCAAGACUGGGUAUCCAUACUGGCAAUCCUUUCUUUGAAAACUAGUUGAGGAGGGUAGGUAAGUAACAAACUCCGUAAACUUUCAAACAAAGGGAAAGAGGCCAGCCUUACAUUGUUGUAGGCAUCGUUGAAGAGCCCAGCACAGUCAGUGUAAUAAGCCCAACGGGUCUUAAGACUAAAAUGCUUUUUUCCUGAUGGCUCUCGGAGCCGGGGAAUGUUCCCGCCACAACUGGCAUGGGCGUACGCAAAAUAUGUUAUGAAAAUGAGUACAAUUGUAGAAACUGAGAGCAAGAAGCCUGCAGCAUUCAAUCCGUGAUCGGGAGGUGAUUCUAGCCAAAAACCUAACAUAUUUGAGUCUAGAAAGAAAUUGCUUUGUAAUUCCGAAUAUGGUUGCGAGUU
rnacentral:sRNA from 2 species